rnacentral:rRNA from 1 species
AUUGAACGCUGGCGGCAUGCCUUACACAUGCAAGUCGAACGGCAGCACGGGAGCAAUCCUGGUGGCGAGUGGCGAACGGGUGAGUAAUAUAUCGGAACGUGCCCAGUCGUGGGGGAUAACGCAGCGAAAGCUGUGCUAAUACCGCAUACGAUCUACGGAUGAAAGCGGGGGAUCGCAAGACCUCGCGCGAUUGGAGCGGCCGAUAUCAGAUUAGCUAGUUGGUGAGGUAAAGGCUCACCAAGGCGACGAUCUGUAGCUGGUCUGAGAGGACGACCAGCCACACUGGAACUGAGACACGGUCCAGACUCCUACAGGAGGCAGCAGUGGGGAAUUUUGGACAAUGGGCGCAAGCCUGAUCCAGCAAUGCCGCGUGCAGGAUGAAGGCCUUCGGGUUGUAAACUGCUUUUGUACGGAACGAAACGGCGAGCUCUAAUACAGUUUGCUAAUGACGGUACCGUAAGAAUAAGCACCGGCUAACUACGUGCCAGCCGCCGCCGUAAUAC